CUGGCCCUGUGAUGGCCUUUAUUUUCUGCUCCUUUCUGUGGGGUUUUCUGAGCACCGAUGGCCGGUCCGUGGGACAGGCCCCCCAGGGGCAGGCUGGCCGGGAGGGGCGAGGACCAGGCGAUCUGGGGACUUCCGCGCCUCUUGAUUUUCCAGUGCCGUUCUAAAACUGGAAUCCUGCCGGCAGGCCCUGUGCAGGACCUGAGCCCCUGAAGAGGGGGCUGGAGGCUGGGCCGGCCACUGAGGGCCGGGACUCCCUCGGCCGCAGGGCCACCGGGCGCUUAGAAUCCUGGGGUCAGCUAGGAACGAGCACGGCCGGCUGUGUGUGCAGGAGAGGAGAGGGCUGCGGGUCGUGGGAGACUGUGCUGGGAACCAGGAGUGCGGUUCGGGGCUAGGCUGUUUAGGAUUCCUGGUCUGGGACAGAGCCGUCCAGGCAGGGAGGGACACUGAGGGGCAGGUCUGGGGCCCAGGGAGCUGGGCUCUGCGCGGUCGGCCCCCAGGGGAGCGUGGCUUGUGCCUGCUAAGCGAAUGCGCUCGCAACAUGGACGGGCAGGACGUCCUUGAAGGGUUUCUUUUCUCCUGCGAGAAAUCGCUAAACAAUGGUGACUUUAAAAUGUCGGAGAUUUUCAAGUGUAUUAGACUUUUUAGUUGUAUCAGGCCAUUAACCUGCCAGAAUCUUAUCUUUCUGGAGUCGAUACGAGAAGGCGGCCCCCGCCACAGCUGAGUUUUGACGAUGAUCAAUGAAGUUUAUUUUUUGUUUAAUUCAGCGAUUCAGGAAGCGGCAGGAAGCGGCGGCCGUGCCGGUGGGGGCAGGGCCAGGCCGGGGCAGGUGGCAGGAAGCAGGUCUCUGGGACCGUCUAUUUUAGGAAGCAAGAAAACACUUGCAAAUUCAUAGUUUGUGGUUAGCAGAAGUGGUUUUCGGGCGGUUUUGCCCAGCCCCAGGGCCAGCUCGGCCUCCUGCAAAACAACACCUGCACGAUUUGCAUUUUCUAAAAUAAGCCCGAGAGGCUGGCAGGAGCCCAGAGCCUUCUUUUUCUGACUUUCCGAAUUUAAUCUCUCCGUCUGAAUUACACUCAUUUCCAAAGUAAGACGUUGAGGACCUUCCGCUGGUCUCAGGGACGGUUUGCAGCGCGUUCCUGUUCCUGUUGGGUUUUCUGAAUCAGUGGUUCCUGGUCAUUGACCCCAAACCGCCCUCCGGUGCCCCGAAGCAGGGUUUUGGGAACUCUGUGUCCGUGUUCUAAGACUUUCUCUUUGUGAGGGAGAGGCAUGGAGGUACCCUGAGGAGGUGACCUUCCUGGCCGCCUGUUCGCAGACCUGUUUUCAAGCAUUCCUUUGGGGACAAAUUUUAGAGGAAACGAGUGAUUGUCCUGAGUGGUUUCAGUGAAGCGCGUUCUUGUUGGACUAAGAGGAAGCCCCGUCAGGUCUCGAAUCAGAAAGGAACUCUCCCGCGCCGAUGGGGCCCCCCAGCCCGCCGUGGCUGGGGGUCUCCCCGGGCCCGCCGUGGCUGGGGGCAGGCACUCGUGGCUUCUGCCGCCAGGCCAACCGCCUGUGCAUCAACCACCCGAUUUUAAUGGAUUUGGAGGAAUUCUCCCAAGACCCCCACAAGUGACCAGGGAGCCCAGCUGACUCCGAAACGCUGCAUCUGUUCCCCUUGGUCUCAGAGUGUAAAGUCCCGAAGCAAGGCGACUCCCUAGGCCUGGCCUGCUUGGCACAAGGACCCUCCGUGGAGUCCUUGCGGGUGGCCUCGAGCUCGAGCUCGGGGCCGCAGACGACCACCAUGAUCACGCUGGGGAGCCGAGAGCGCAUGCAGCUGUCCUUCCUGUCGGUCUCCUGGAAGCCGGACCCGCACUUCUGCAGAGCCGUAGUUUCCGGCCGCCCGCAGCAGAAGCCCAUCCCGUGGCCAGAGUCCUGGGAAAGGAAGACUGACCCACCGGCUCACGGGCCGUCUCCGCCGGAGACCUCCACACCCAGCGCCCCAGUGUCCUCCACCCGCCACACCCGGACACAAGCCGCGGAGUCAGGAAGCCCAGUGGACGCUACGCUCAGAGACUGCCGGAACCACACUCACCCUCCCAGCCUCUACCUGCUGCAGCCUCCCCUGCGGGGCCCGUGGCUCCAGGGAGAGGCCACCUUCACCUGCCUGGCGGUGGGGGAUGACCUGCAGGAGGCCCGCAUGUCCUGGGCGGUGGCCAGGGCGCCCCCCAGCGGGGCGGUGGAGGAGGAACUGCGGGAGGAGCACACCAACGGCUCCCAGAGCCUGAGCAGCCGGCUGGCCUUGCCCGUGUCCCUGUGGGCCUCGGGGACCAGCAUCGCCUGCACGCUGAGCCUGCCCAACAGGCCGGCCCAGGUGGCGUCUGUGGCACCGGGACAGCACGCGGCCACCGCGCCCAGCAGCCUCACUGUCCGCGUCCUGACCGUGCGCCAAGCCGCCUCCUGGCUCCUCUGUGAGGUGUCAGGCUUCUCGCCCCCGGACAUCCUCCUCACCUGGCUCGAGGGCCGCACGGAGGUGGACCCUGGUGCCUUUGCCACCGCACGCCCCAUGGCCCAGCCUGGGAACAGCACGUUCUGGACCUGGAGUGUCCUGCGUGUCCUCGCAGCCCAGAGCCCAGGCCCGGCCACCUACACGUGUGUGGUGAGGCAUGAUGCCUCCCGGAAGCUGUUCAACAGCAGCCAGAGCCUGGACGCUGGUCUGGCCACGACGCCCCCACCGCCCCAGAGCCACGAGGAGAGCAGGGGGUACGCCACAGACCUGGGGUACGCCACGGACCUGGGGGACGCCACUGACCUGGAGGACACGGGCGGGCUGUGGCCCACGUUUGCCGCCCUCUUCCUGCUCGCUCUGCUCUACAGCGGCUUUGUCACCUUCAUCAAGGUGAAGUGACGCUCAGCCUCCAUGCUGUCGCCAAGGGCAAAGGGGCCCAGCCGGACUCCAGCCCCACCUCCGCCCACGCCCCGCGCACCGCUGUCCACCCCUGUCCAGAGCUCAGCGGCCAGUUCCCAGAGAGGAGGGCGUCGCAGCCCGCGCACCCCCGAGCCAGCAGACCUCACCGCAGCCCCUUGCCUUCACACUGGCCAGCCGGCCCCAUAAACAACCUUGCUCGUUCCGUG